rnacentral:misc_RNA from 1 species
UCACCCCUCAAGCCUCGGUUUGGUGUUGGACUAUUUGGUUCGGUAACGAACCGGUCUCAAAGAUAGUGACGGCGUCCCGGAAGGAGCCCGUACGAGGAGCUUUUACUUAGGCAUGUACGCGGUACGAUCCCGUGGGCGACGGUCUAUUACCUAGAAUUUUUAUCUUAG